CACGUAGGGCGCAAGCGUUGUCCGGAAUUAUUGGGCGUAAAGAGCUCGUAGGUGGUUUGUUACGUCCGCUGUGAAAUCCUAGGGCUUAACCCUGGGCUUGCAGUGGAUACGGGCAGACUAGAGUGUGGUAGGGGAGACUGGAAUUCCUGGUGUAGCGGUGGAAUGCGCAGAUAUCAGGAGGAACACCGAUGGCGAAGGCAGGUCUCUGGGCCAUUACUGACACUGAGAAGCGAAAGCAUGGGGAGCGAACAGG
rnacentral:rRNA from 1 species